CUAUGCGCCUUGCCAGCCCGCUCAGGUGUGCCAGCCGCCGCGGUAAUACGGAGGGUGCAAGCGUUAAUCGGAAUUACUGGGCGUAAAGCGCACGCAGGCGGUUUGUUAAGUCAGAUGUGAAAUCCCCGGGCUCAACCUGGGAACUGCAUCUGAUACUGGCAAGCUUGAGUCUCGUAGAGGGGGGUAGAAUUCCAGGUGUAGCGGUGAAAUGCGUAGAGAUCUGGAGGAAUACCGGCGGCGAAGGCGGCCCCCUGGGCGAAGACUGACGCUCAGGUGCGAAAGCGUGGGGAGCAAACAGG
rnacentral:rRNA from 1 species